UCCGAUAUAACGACAGAUCACUUCCGGGUUUAAGUGUUGACUACAGCAAAUCGCGCAGAGCGGUUAACCGUUGUCAAUAUAAAUACACGCGCCAAUCCAUGCUGUCACAACUAGCCAGAUUUCUCUACUGAAUAACGUCAACACUGUACAAGAUAACAGGACAAGGAUGGGAAAGUGGAACCACAGCAGGAACCCCUGGAACUCCCCAGCGAAGAGAGGUGUAUCGCAGAUGCUCCGGCAAGAGAAGUUGGGCCAAAGCAGCAACACGUCACAGUUCAGGCAGACCGAAAAACAUAUUGUGGAAACGCGAGCAAAACUUGACAAACUGAGGUCUUCCACUGCGCCAAUCAACGAAGAUCUGAUGAAACUUCAACUUCUGUGCCACUCUGUCACCUUUGUGACGUCAUAGCUGUGUACAAAUGACCGUCCAAUCAUAAUCAUCAUUCACUGAUUCACUGACAAUGUCAAUCCUGCCUUCAACCUGCGCACCACAGAACUGAAAGCUAAAAUGAGAAACAGCAAUUUUCUGAGUCGUCAAUAUUUUCACAACAAAAAUGUAUGAUUAUGUGCAUCCACAAUCUCACGAGAACUCUCUCCGUUUUAUCAUGCGCCAUCAUACGUUUGUGAAAUGCCAGAUUUUUUUUCAGAAGAAGACAUUAUUAUAAACAAUAAAUGUUAACUGGAUGUUCA